AACGCAUCUUGCACCGUCAUGGUAUUCCAUACGGUACGCCUGUUUCAGUAUCAUAAGAUACCACUACUACGACAUGCUUGGUCGUAGGCACUUGGUACCGAAAAAGUUCAUACAAAAAAAUGAACUUUGUACCAAAAUCCAGAGCCAACCGAUGGAUUUGAUACGGUUAAUGCCAAUUUAACUACCUAGUACUCUGUACUAGUAGUGGCAUGCCUAGAAUCCUUGGUGCUUUUGUAUGGACUUGUAGUGAGUUCAUACAAAACCUCUUUAUUUUUCAUACUGAUCUGAAAUCAGGUGGGAUUACCCGCUGAACUUAA
rnacentral:misc_RNA from 1 species